UGGGGAAUAUUGCGCAAUGGGCGGAAGCCUGACGCAGCGACGCCGCGUGGGGGAUGACGGCCUUCGGGUUGUAAACCUCUUUCAGCAGGGACGAAGUUGACGUGUACCUGCAGAAGAAGCGCCGGCUAACUACGUGCCAGCAGCCGCGGUAAUACGUAGGGCGCAAGCGUUGUCCGGAAUUAUUGGGCGUAAAGAGCUCGUAGGUGGCUGGUCGCGUCUGCCGUGAAAGCCCGCAGCUUAACUGCGGGUCUGCGGUGGAUACGGGCCGGCUAGAGGUAGGUAGGGGCAAGUGGAAUUCCUGGUGUAGCGGUGAAAUGCGCAGAUAUCAGGAGGAACACCGGUGGCGAAGGCGGCUUGCUGGGCCUUACCUGACGCUGAGGAGCGAAAGCGUGGGGAGCGAACAGGAUUAGAUACCCGUGUAGUCC
rnacentral:rRNA from 1 species